rnacentral:rRNA from 1 species
UGCCAGACUCCUACGGGAGGCAGCAGUGGGGAAUAUUGCACAAUGGGGGGAACCCUGAUGCAGCGACGCCGCGUGGGUGAAGGAGCACCUCGGUGCGUAAAGCCCUAUCGGCAGGGGAGAAAAGCGAACAGGUUCGCCUGGACGGUACCUGACUAAGAAGCCCCGGCUAACUACGUGCCAGCAGCCGCGGGAAUACGUAGGGGGCAAGCGUUAUCCGGAUUUACUGGGUGUAAAGGGAGCGUAGACGGCAUGGCAAGUCUGAUGUGAAAACCCGGGGCUCAACCCCGGGACUGCAUUGGAAACUGUCAGGCUAGAGUGUCGGAGAGGCAAGUGGAAUUCCUAGUGUAGCGGUGAAAUGCGUAGAUAUUAGGAGGAACACCAGUGGCGAAGGCGGCUUGCUGGACGAUGACUGACGUUGAGGCUCGAAAGCGUGGGGAGCAACCAGGAUUAGAUACCCUUGUA